rnacentral:pre_miRNA from 1 species
AGUUCUCAGGCCCGCUGUGGUGUGAAGUUAGGUUCACCAAGCGGCUGCCCUGGGAGAGGG